CUCUUUCUGAAGGUCCCUCUUUUUUGGAAUUUUCCACUGUGAGCCUACAUCCUUGGACACAGAUGCAUGUUCCUAUGGGCCUCAGUACUACAGCCCAAAAGCUGAAGAUCAACACUCACUCCCAGCUUGAUGUCGUCUGCAAACUUACUGAGGGUGCACUCAAUCCCCUCAUCAAGAUCAUCACUGAAGAUAUUAAACAGAAGCGGCCCCAGCACUGAGCCUUGAAGCACACCGCUUGUGACGGGCCGCCAACUGAAUUCAACUCCAUUGACCACGACUCUUUGGGCCCAGCCAUCCAGCCAGUGCUGGAUGAGAGGUCAUAUGAGAGGUCUGUCCAGUGAUUUGUAUAGCUACGUGUCUCAGCCAGGUUU
ensembl:lncRNA